CUCACAUGAAGAGAGUGAAGUGAGGAGUUUCCUUCAGUGUCUGCCUUAUAUUUCACAGCUCAGGGUUGAUCCUCAGAUGUCAGAUGAAGACACAAUCAGCUUAUUUGUGAAUCUGUUCUGUGCAACAGCAGAGAGAGAACAGCAGACAGGAGAGAAGAUACUGGAGCUGUUAUCAUCAGUGUGCAGAUACAAAAACAGUCCUCUUAAAGAGAAAUGGUGUGACUUCCUCAUGGACCUGUACUCUUAUGAGAUUAAAACAGGCCUGAGUGUCCUUCCAUCAUUACAGUCAGUUUUCCA